rnacentral:rRNA from 12 species
GACUCAGUGAAAUCGAAAUCGCAGUGAAGAUGCUGUGUACCCGCGGCUAGACGGAAAGACCCCGUGAACCUUUACUAUAGCUUUACGCUGAAUUUUGAGUAUUUUUGUGUAGGAUAGGUGGGAGACUUUGAAGCGGCCGUUCUGGCGGUCGUGGAGUCAUCCUUGAAAUACCACCCUUUACCUAUUUGUGUGCUAACCCCGAUUCCCGUGAAGCCGGGCGGGGGACAGUGAGUGCUGGGUAGUUUGACUGGGGCGGUCUCCUCCGAAAGAGUAACGGAGGAGCGCAAAGGUUGGUUCAGCGCGGAUGGAAACCGCGUGUUGAGUGUAAGAGCAUAAGCCAGCUUUACUGCGAGAGCGACGGCUCGAGCAGUCUCGAAAGAGGGCUCUAGUGAUCCUGCGAUCCCGUGUGGAAGGGUCGUAGCUCAUCGGAUAAAAGGUACUCUGGGGAUAACAGGCUGAUACCGCCCAAGAGUUCAUAUCGACGGCGGUGUUUGGCACCUCGAUGUCGGCUCAUCUCAUCCUGGGGCUGAAGCAGGUCCCAAGGGUAUGGCUGUUCGCCAUUUAAAGUGGUACGCGAGCUGGGUUUAGAACGUCGUGAGACAGUUCGGUCCCUAUCUACCGUGGGCGUUGGAAAUUUGAGAGGAUCUGCUCCUAGUACGAGAGGACCAGAGUGGACGAACCUCUGGUGUUUCGGUUGUGACGCCAGUCGCAUUGCCGAGUAGCUAUGUUCGGAUGGGAUAACCGCUGAAAG